UUUGUGACAAAAACUUAAAAAGUACUAUUCGAGAGAAUCGCCCAAAAAUAUUACAUAAUAUGUACACGAUAUUCUAACUAUGCAUGAUUCUAAUAUGGUUAUUAAUUGUCAAAUUAUAAUUUAUAUUUUAAGCAUACAUAUUCUGUAAAUUAAUAUCAAAUAAAAAUAUGAAAUGACCCAAAUAUGAAAACUAAUCAAAAUGAAGAUUAGUUUUUAGAUAGAACCUAGUAGGUUUUGAAAACCCUUGUUGGGUUUCUCUCUUCUCUCUUCUCUCUUCCCCCUCUUGUAUCUUUCACGGAGAAGUUUUGAGAGAAAUUCUUGUUUAAUCUUCUGAUCAUAGUUUACAUCAGAAUUUCGUUUUUUUGAUCGGUUGGAUCCUUACUUUGCUUGGCGAUUCUGUUUUGUUUUGUUUGAAUAAUUUCGAAGAGUUUGGAUCUUGCCCUCUCAAGCUCCUUUUGAGGUUCUUUAAAUCCAGAUGAAAUGAAAUUGAUACUCUUUUGCUGGUCUAACUAUGCCUAUACGUCUUUCAAGAAAGUGUAAAUCUUACUGUUUUACAGGAGCCGCUGAUUUGAGUCAAGUGAAUUGUGAGAAAGAUGAAUAGAGUAUUGAUUCAACUCGAUUAAGUUGGGUUUGAUUUUAGUAGAUGGCUUUUCAGAAUCAAUCUUCAGGAAUGGUUGAAGAAAGGAGCUUCGUUGGUGUUACAUGGAGCAUAUGGUUUUCGAACCUCACGGAGGAGGACAAGUUGCUGAUGAAGGAUGUUUACAUCGGAAAGACUUUACGUCGGUGCUGAUGAUUGCAGAUCCAAUGAGGUGUCCGGUGAUACUAUCACCGUACGGAGUCCACUUGUUGCAUGAUGCCCUUAGUUUCCUACAUGUAUUUAAUAUUUAUUUAAUAUUGUUUUUGUUUAAAGUGGGAAAUGGGGUAUAAAAAUAUGG